CUGGGCGACUUACCCUGUGACGUCAUCUACUCAUGUUUGUAGAUGUCCUCCUCCACCAUUAACAGACCUCAAAUUUUACAGCAGUCCAUUCUUCCCACCUGAGUGUUUUCCUUCUUUUGAAGAACGGUAAGCAAAGCAAACAAACACACCUGAUCCAUCACAGACGUUGGUCCACAUGUUUGGGACAUGAUUUCUCAUCCCGCCUGUUUAUGUUUUUAUCUUUGUAGAGAUGAGUUGGAUGAGUUAUUGGCUAUCAUGCCACCAGAGGCCCUGGAACCCGUCCCAGUUCCAAAGAAAAGAAAACACGAGAAGGAUAAGGGGACGUAUGUAAAGAAACCUCCCAACGCAUUUAUGCUGUUCUUAAAAAGCGAGAGGAAGACAGUCCAGGAAGAGCUCGGCAUUAAGAACAGUGCCGCAGUCAAUCGAGUUCUUUCUGAACGCUGGAAGUCUUUGGCAGAAGACAAAAGGUAGAUCUUCCAAGCUGAAGCCCAAGUGGAAGCUCAUAUACACGCUCUCAAUAACCCAGGCUGGAGCAACAAAGUGAAUUACGUAAGUCUACUGCGCAGAAAUGUUUACCCAUCCACCUUAUAGGUGAUGACAUCAUGACUGUGGAAGUGUUUUAUCAGCUGACUAGAAUUGUCACGUGUCU
rnacentral:lncRNA from 1 species